rnacentral:rRNA from 1 species
AGAGUUUGAUCCUGGCUCAGAUUGAACGCUGGCGGCAGGCCUAACACAUGCAAGUCGAGCGGUAACAGGGGAAGCUUGCUUCUCGCUGACGAGCGGCGGACGGGUGAGUAAUGUAUGGGGAUCUGCCCGAUAGAGGGGGAUAACUACUGGAAACGGUAGCUAAUACCGCAUAACGUCGCAAGACCAAAGAGGGGGACCUUCGGGCCUCUUGCCAUCGGAUGUGCCCAGAUGGGAUUAGCUAGUUGGUGAGGUAACGGCUCACCAAGGCCACGAUGCAUAGCCGACCUGAGAGGGUGAUCGGCCACACUGGGACUGAGACACGGCCCAGACUCCUACGGGAGGCAGCAGUGGGGAAUAUUGCACAAUGGGCGCAAGCCUGAUGCAGCCAUGCCGCGUGUAUGAAGAAGGCCUUAGGGUUGUAAAGUACUUUCAGUUGGGAGGAAGGCGUUGAUGCUAAUAUCAUCAACGAUUGACGUUACCAACAGAAGAAGCACCGGCUAACUCCGUGCCAGCCGCCGCGGUAAUUC